GCAGUGGUGGCUCAGCGGUAGAAUUCUCGCCUUCCAUGUGGGAGACCAGGGUUCCAUUCCCACCCAAUGCA
rnacentral:tRNA from 1 species